rnacentral:rRNA from 1 species
AGUGAACGUUGGCGGCGUGGAUUAGGCAUGCAAGUCGAGCGAUCGUAGCAAUACGGGAGCGGCAAACGGGGGUAGGAAUACACCGGAACGUACCUUUUGGUUGAGAAUAGCGUUGGGAAACUGACGGUAAUACUCAAUAAAGUCGAGAGACCAAAGGUUUACUGCCGGAAGAGCGGCCGAUGCGAUAUUAGGUAGUUGGUGGGGUAAUGGCCUACCAAGCCUGAGAUGUCUAGGGGGUGUGAGAGCAUGGCCCCCACCACUGGGACUGAGAUACUGCCCAGACACCUACGGGUGGCUGCAGUCGAGGAUCUUCGUCAAUGGGCGAAAGCCUGAACGAGCGACGCCGCGUGCGGGAUGAAGGCCCUUGGGUUGUAAACCGCUGUCAGGGGGGAUGAAACCGUAAGGUUGACAGAGCCCCAGAGGAAGCACGGGCUAAGUUCGUGCCAGCAGCCGCGGUAAU